rnacentral:rRNA from 1 species
CACGGGGGGAGCAAGCGUUGUCCGGAAUUAUUGGGCGUAAAGAGCUCGUAGGCGGUCUGUUGCGUCCGCUGUGAAAACUCGGGGCUUAACCCCGAGCCUGCAGUGGAUACGGGCAGACUAGAGGUAGGUAGGGGAGAAUGGAAUUCCCGGUGUAGCGGUGAAAUGCGCAGAUAUCGGGAGGAACACCGGUGGCGAAGGCGGUUCUCUGGGCCUUACCUGACGCUGAGGAGCGAAAGCGUGGGGAGCGAACAGG